rnacentral:rRNA from 1 species
UUAGCAGAGGCGGUCCCAACGAUGUCCCCAUCGACCCGAAGGUCAAGCUGGCAAUUGUUGGCGUGGGUCUCGCUCGUUGCCUGACUAAACAGGAUGCUUCACAGUACGAACUGACGACGGCCAUGCACCUCCUCUCAGCUAGUCAAGUAGAGUCUUCAUCCCGACUAUCAUUCAGCUGUCUUAUCCGGUGAGAUUCCCGGCGUUGAGUCCGAUUAAACCGCAGGCUCCACCCGUUGUGGUGCUCCCCCGCCAAUUCCUUUAAGUUUCAGCCUUGCGACCGUACUCCCCAGGCGGCGCAUUUCACGGUUUCCCUUCGGCACCUCAGUGACACGUGGUCACUGACACACCUAAUGCGCAUAGUUUACAGCUGGGACUACCCGGGUAUCUAAUCCGGUUUGCUCCCCCAGCUUUCGUCCCUCACUGUCGGAGCCGUUCUGGUGAGAUGCCUUCGCCAUAGGUCGUCCCACCGGGAUUACAGGAUUUCACUCCUACCCCGGCAGUACCUCUCACCUCUCCCGGUCCCUAGAACUGCAGUUUCCCCUGAACGCCCAUCAGUUAAGCCGAUGGAUUUCUCAAGGGACACACAGAUCCAGCUACGGACCCUUUAAGCCCAGUAAAAGCGGCCACCACUCGAGCCGCCGGUAUUACCGCGGCGGCUGGCACCGGUCUUGCCCGGCCCUUUCUUCACCAGUUGUUUACACUGGUGGACAGCCACCCUGUGGUGGCACUCGGGGUUUCCUUAUCACGGUUGCCCGCAUUGUAAAGUUUUCGCGCCUGCUGCGCCCCGUAGGGCCUGGAUUCGUGUCUCAGAAUCCAUCUCCGGGCUCUUGCUCCCACAACCCGUACCGAUUACAGGCUUGUUGGGCUUUUACCCCAACAACUACCUAAUCGGCCGCAGACUCAUCCUGAAGCGACGGAUCUUUCAUCCGGAGAACAUUCCAGUCCUCCCGGACUAUAGAGCAUUACCCCCAGUUUCCCGGGAUUAUUCUCUUCUUCAGGGCAGAUUGUCC